ensembl:lncRNA
GGUCAACCUGCCUAUGUACCUGAACAAUGGUCAGGUGUCUGUCUACAGGAGUGGCUGGUAUGCUGUGGUCACAACCAGCUUUGGCCUUAACGUCUCCUUCGACUGGAACAGUGCAAUGUUUGUCACGCUGCCCUCCACCUACAGGUCGCUGCCUGUGGCAACUACAACACCCGGCCUCAAGAUGACCUUGUACCCAGGAACGAGACAACCCCUGCCAGGCCAGAGGACUUCGGGGCCAGUUGGUGCAUGGAGCAGAUCCCUGGCUGUGUCCACGGCUGUAUUGGGGCCUGUCCCAACUGAAGUCAACCAGAAGAGGUGGUUCUGAGGAACCCGACGGGGCCUUUCCAGGACUGCUUUGCCACAGUGAACCAGGUGGGAUACUUUGAGGACUGCGUGUAUGACGUGUGUUUGUAUAAGGGCAAGUGUCCAGCCCACAGCCACUGAGGUGUGUUUCUGGCUGUCCUGCCACUUGCCAGAGCCUGUCCCCUCCCUCAGGUUGCCUCGCCCAGUGUAACGAGGGCUUCUCCUGUAAUGAAGGACACAUCCUCAGCAGUGACCACUGUGUCCGCGUCGCCCAGUGUGGCUGUGUUCAUAGUGGCCGCUACUACAACACCAACCAGAUGUUCUACCCCAACCGGAAGUGUGAGUGGUGCAAGUGCACCCAGGAUGGAUAAGUAUAAAUAACUUAACUUUUAAUAGGAGUAUUUGUAUUGAGAUAUUACCUUGCUAUUUGCUGUAUAGAUGAAUGGCUGUACAGAAAUUCCAUUGUACUUGUCUUUUCAGUGAUGUUUCAGAAUAUCUGAUCAUCUGUAGGUGGAAUGCAAUAACUUCUCCUGCGGCCCCAACGAGAUGUGAGGUGGGGAAAGGGGUGUGCCACGUGUCCGGUGGCCCCCACUACACAUCUUUCGACAGGCUGGUGUAUGACUUCCAGGGCAUGUGUACCUACACCCUGGCCAAGGGCAAUGGUCUGGAGGGGACCCACCUGGUGGGCUUCUCUGUACAGGUGGAGAACGAGAAGUGUAACAAACAGUUGUCAUCAUGCAGGUGGCUCUGGAUGUGUACAACUACACCCUGGUCCUCAGUAAGAAUGUUAUGGGAGUCCUGGUAAGUAGGAGGGGGCUUGUUGGUUUCUGACUUUGAAUGAAUAAAACAUCCCCCAUCUUGCCUUCACAAGCCGUUUUCUGUUUGUGAUCAUUGGAGAAAAUCGGGUUGGCGCAUUUAUUCUUUAGCACAGUUUUGACAAGGUUUGACCACAAUACUGUUUAUCCUCCAACCAGGUGAAUGGAAUGUUCAACCACCUGCCUCUGAGUGGCGGGCAGUGCAGGUCUUCCAGGAGGGCUUCCACUAUAUCAUCACAACGGACUACGGCCUGCACGUCACCUAUGACACUUGCCCCUUGUCAAAUGAGGGCCCGCUAUGUGCGAGUGUCUGCACAGAAUCUUGUGUGUGUGUGUGAUGAGGGUUAUGUCCUCAGCGUUGGGCGUCUGUGCCUGCCAAACCCUGCGGCUGCUCCUCCCAGGGUCACUACUACAAGGCUGGUCAGCGCUUCUGGGCAGACCGUGUCUGUGUGAGUGUAACACCUCUCUGGGCAUGGUGAACUGCUUCGAGGCCUCCUGUUCGGCCAACGAGAAGUGCAGUCUGGUGGAUGGUAAACACUCCUGCCUACCACCCAGCACUUGCACCGCUGCAGGUGACUCUCAUUACCUUCGACGGCCACUGGUUUGACUACCAGGGUACUUGUGUGUACCAGCUGGUGGCGGUGUGCACCCAGAAGCCGGGCCUGGUGCCGUUCAAGGUGACAGUGCAGAAAUGUGGCCUACACGAAGAUUGUCAUCUACGGCGUCUCCCUCACCAUCAGCAGGGACUACCCCUUCAAGAUCCUGGGGAGUGUUACUGGAUAGGGACAGAUGUAUAGAGGGGGGUUAGUUAGUAUAUUUACAGGACUUUAUAAUUGUUUUUUAACACGUAGUUUAUUCUACUACUCAUGAUGCUGUUACAGCUAUUUUAAUUAAGCGGUCUAGUCCUUAAUCCUUGCAGAUUUAAUGAAAUUAUCGUUUAACUGGGAAUUACAAUGAAAAAAAUCUAUAGUCUCCCAUAUAAUUGUCCUUCCUCUUUCGUCUCGGUUGGAUGGACAGCUUGCGUCCCUGCCCCUGGAGCUGAAGAGUCAGCUGAUGGUGUUCCGCAGUGACCGAAGGGCGGUGGUGGAGACUGCUGCGGGCAUCAUGCUGACCUUUGACAAACUCCCCAGCACCUACCAGGGGGCAGUCUGCGGCCUGUGUGGCAACUACAACGCCAUGCCUCAGGUCGACCUCACUAUGCGUGACAGUCAACCUGCGCCCAACGCCACCUGUCUGUGUGUGAGCUGGCGGGUGGCCCUUGUGCCUGGUUGCUCCUCUGGAUGCUAGGGGACACAAUGCCAGUCCUGCUCGGACGCAGAGAAGAAUGCGUACAGCUCCCGCUGUGGCAUCAUAGCAGACAAAGCCGGCUCCUUCAAAGAGUGCCAUGGCGCCGUGGACCCUGCUCUGUACCUGGAGGACUGUUGUCGAUGCCUGUUAUAAUCAUGGUGACCAGGGGUCGGCGUGCGACGUGGUAGAGGCCUAAGUCUCUGCCUGUCAGAGCAAGGGGGUGACAGUCCAUUCCUGGAGGAGUGAUGGCUUCUGUCCUCUGUCCUGUCCAGCCAACGGCCACUAUAGCCUCUGUGCCCCAGGCUGCCCUGCCACCUGUACAAGCCUCUCCACAUGUCGCCAGUCCUGUUUUGAGAGCUGCCAGUGUGGCGAAGGCUACCUGCUGAGUGGUGACGCUUGUGUACCUGUGGCCCAGUGUGGCUGCUCUUACGGGGGGCGCUGCUACAGGAAGAGGGAGACCUUCUACCCCAGGGUCACUGUCUAGACCAGUGUACCUGUGGGAAAACUGGGCAAUCUCCUGCCGGAAGGCCAAGUGUGGUGCCGGGGAGGCCUGCAAGGUGGUAAACUGGGUGUUGGGGUGCCACCCAAUUGGACAGGCCACAUGUUUAGUGUCAGGUGACCUCCACUACAUGUCAUUCGAUGGCUACAGGUUUGACUUCCAGGACACCUGUCUAUACGCUGGCCAAGGUGUGCGAAGAUUAUAAAGGCAGACUGACUGGCUUCACCGUGACUCACGGGAAUGAUAUGUAUGGGAAGGUGGCGCUCAAUAACGUCAUCGCUGUGUCUGUCUACAGCUAUUCCAUCAGCAUUGUGCAGGGGACGAGCUGGAGAGUGAUUCGGCACUGGCGGCUCCUUGCAGACUGGCGGCACUGGCGGCGCUGGGCAGACUGGCGGCGCUGGGCAGACUGGCGGCACUGGCGGCGCUGGGCAGACAGGUGGCUCAGGCGGCACUGGGCAGACGGGUAGUCCAGAUGGCGCUGGGCAGACGGGUAGUUCAGAUGGCGCUGGGCAGACGGGUAGCUCAGAUGGCGCUGUGCAGACAGACGACUCUGAUGGCGCUGGGCAGACGGGAAGCUCCGGCAACGCUGGAGAGGAAGGCUCUGGCAGCGCUGGACUGAGUAGCUCUGGCGCCUCUGGAAUGAGGGGCUCUAGCGCCUCUGGACUGAGGGGCUCUAGCGCCUCUGGACUGAGGGGCGGGAGCUCUGGCAGCGCCAAACCGGCGGGAGACUCCGGCUGCGCUGGAGGGGAGGAAGGCUCUAGCAGCACCGGAGAGGCGGGACAAUGUGACCGAAUGAAUGACUUGAAUUUUAGAACUUCUGAAUCUUAUCUGAAUUAUCACAGGAGGGUCUGGUUGCUGUGGCAGUCUGGUAACCACCACAAUGGACAGAUGCAGAGACUUUAACUUUUUUUACAUGUCUCUGUGACAAGGGAACUGAAUGUCGCAGAGACAGUCUACAGACAUUCCGCCAGAGCAGUGGCAAUUUUGGAAUGUAAAUCUUGGUGGGGCUAAUUCACACAUUUUUGUUAGCUGCAUGCCUGCAAAGCCACUAUACAAUACAUUAAUUGCACUAGAACAUAAAGCUUUCCUUUCAGCACCAUAGUGAAUCCUUACCACCGCUACACCUGGAUAUCAGCGGAGCCUUGCCUGGCAGUGAGUUAAUUCAGCCUCAUUUACUGCCUUUUUCAACAACAAAAAACCUUUGACUUGCUUAAUUAAAUAUGGUGUUGUGUCUUUGGCUAUGCCGCAUUAAGUGAUAUGACUAUUCUAUAAAUCAUUUCUCUAAUACCUGAUUAACUUCUUGAUGCACCCAACCCGUUAGCGGGAUCAUUUGUCAACAUCCGCUGAAUUGCAGAGUGCCAAAUUCAAAUUAAAUUACAAAAAAUAUUACAUUUUCAUGAAAUCACAAGUGCAAUAUAGCAAAACAUAGCUUAGCUUGUUGUUAAUCCACCUGGCAUGUCAGAUUUCAAAAAAGCUUUUCGGUGAAAGCAUACCAAGCGUUUAUGUAAGAACAUCUCUCUCAGCAGACAAAACAUUAAACAGCUAGCAGCAAAGUAGGUUGGUCAGAAAAGCAAUAAAAUGAAUAGCUUACCUUUGAUCUUUGGAUGUUUGCACUCACGAAACUCCCAGUUACACAAAUGUUCCUUUUGUUCCAUAAAGAUUAUUUUUAUAUCCAAAAUACCUCCAUUUGUUUGGUGCGUUAUGUUCAGUAAUUCACAGGCUCGAGCGGUCACGAU